rnacentral:rRNA from 1 species
AUUGAACGCUGGCGGCAUGCCUUACACAUGCAAGUCGAACGGCAGCGGGGACUUCGGUCCGCCGGCGAGUGGCGAACGGGUGAGUAAUGUAUCGGAACGUACCAUUCAGUGGGGGAUAACUAUCCGAAAGGAUAGCUAAUACCGCAUAUUCUGUGAGCAGGAAAGCAGGGGAUCGCAAGACCUUGCGCUGAUUGAGCGGCCGAUAUCAGAUUAGCUAGUUGGUGAGGUAAAGGCUCACCAAGGCGACGAUCUGUAGCGGGUCUGAGAGGAUGAUCCGCCACACUGGAACUGGGACACGGUCCAGACUCCUACGGGAGGCAGCAGUGGGGAAUUUUGGACAAUGGGGGCAACCCUGAUCCAGCCAUGCCGCGUGAGUGAAGAAGGCCUUCGGGUUGUAAAGCUCUUUCGGCCGGGAAGAAAUCGUAUGGGUUAAUACCCUGUGCGGAUGACGGUACCGGCAUAAGAAGCACCGGCUAACUACGUGCCAGCCGCCGCCGUAAAAC